AUAUCAGCUCUUUUAAGAGCUAUAAUUCUUAUCUCAGAAAUUCCAU
rfam:Harpegnathos saltator strain R22 G/1 HarSal_1.0_2.contig462, whole genome shotgun sequence.